GGGAUCAUUGCUAUAUUUUGUAGUUUUGUUCUAUCAUUAGCUGUUAAAGGAAUAGAAGACCACAGAUAGCUUUGUACUAAACUACAAGUUCUUGUUUUUAUUGGCACCACCUGGGGAUUAAAACUGAUGCUGUCAUGCUGCCCAGUUAGCCUCAAAGCAGGGGAGAUGUAAUGAUUAUGUGAUCAAAGCACCUCGCUUCAUUCAAUUGUGCAAUAAUUACAAAUGGAAACAUUCUAAACAAGCAACAUUGGCUGUGACGCACACAGGAAGGCAAACCCAGUCCCCAGAGCCUUUAGUGAGUGCUUCAGGGAUGGGAAACCUUCUUCUGAGGAGAAAACCUGGGUAAAAGCUGCUGCAAAUGAUCCUGCAGUACCUUAUGGGCCAUGAAAAUACCCUGUUGUUACCAAGGGGGUAAUAUUGUGAACGCCACAUAUCCACAAUGACCAGGCCCUUAGUUAUAAUAAAAUCAUUUCAUUGACCUUUUGUGACCAUUUCAGCUCAUUCUGCUGUGGCUACAGGGUGUAUUCCUGCCUCCCCAGAGGCUGACUGGGACAUCUUCAUCCAAAGGAAAACGUAUUUACAUGGAAGAUGGAAGUCAAGUGAUGUUUUCCAGCCACUUCAGGUACUGAGCUGCUGGUGCGCGGUUUCAGAAGUUGCCUUUGAGGGUUUUGGACCCUGUCCUCCUUCUCCUCCUGCCACUGCCAGGUGGUGAGGCACUGGCACAGACUAACCAGAGAAGUGGUACUUGCCCCAUCCCUGGACUCACUCAUGGUCAGCCUGGAUAUCCUGGACACCUGAUGGAGCCGUGGGUGCCUCUGUUCAUUGCAGGUGAGUUGGACCAGAUGACCUUUAAGAGUCUCUUCCAAUUCAAAUGAUCGUAUGAUAUAGUGCUAAGUGAAGAUUAAUGUUAUUUUUUCAUUUCUGAGGGGAGCUGAAGAGGACAGACAGAUUUUCUUAUAGUCAGUGAGAAUACAGUUAUAUGGCUGAGCCAACACUGGGCUAGGGAGUGCAGAAAUGAAUGCCCGAUGGCUCCACUGCAUACUCAGUAGGAUGUCUGAUGUGUUUUAACAGCUUUGAGUGCCUGAAUGGCAAUGAAUGGUCACAAGGUCUGUAAUCUGAGGGUUGUUGGAAGGGUCUUGCUGGCUCCCCCCAGUGCUUUCUGUUUCCUGAUUUCACUCCUUGAGCUUCCCAA
rnacentral:lncRNA from 1 species